rnacentral:lncRNA from 1 species
AUCGGCCUCACUGCUGAAGAUCAAUUCAGAAGUCUGAUAAGUGUGAUGAGUCUUUCCAAAGAGAUUACUUUUAUCAGCUGGAUUAACAGCUGUCAAUGGGCUGAUGAAGAUUUAACUUGUGCAAGUCCUCCUCGAGAGAAAAGAUUUCAAUAAUUGUCAAGACAUCCUACAUCAACUUUUUGAGGUCACUUCCAACCUGGACCACCCAUGAACACUGCAGAGCAGCUAUUUAAGAUAAUCUCAAUGUGCUUGGUGAGAACAACCUAAGAAAAUAAACUAGGAAAAUAAAAGGACA